rnacentral:rRNA from 1 species
UACGUAGGGGGCAAGCGUUGUCCGGAUUUAUUGGGCGUAAAGAGCUCGUAGGCGGUUUGGUAAGUCUGGUGUGAAAUCUCCACGCUCAACCUGGAGACGCCACCCGAUACUGCUGUGGCUUGAGUCCGGUAGGGGAGCGUGGAAUUCCUGGUGUAGCGGUGAAAUGCGCAGAUAUCAGGAGGAACACCAGCGGCGAAGGCGGCGCUCUGGGCCGGAACUGACGCUGAGGAGCGAAAGCGUGGGUAGCAAACAGG